CCUACGGGUGGCUGCAGUGGGGAAUAUUGGACAAUGGGGGGAACCCUGAUCCAGCCAUGCCGCGUGUGUGAAGAAGGCCCUCGGGUUGUAAAGCACUUUCAGUGAGGAAGAACGCCUGGUGGUUAAUACCCAUCAGGAAAGACAUCACUCACAGAAGAAGCACCGGCUAACUCCGUGCCAGCAGCCGCGGUAAUACGGAGGGUGCGAGCGUUAAUCGGAAUUACUGGGCGUAAAGCGCGCGUAGGUGGCUUGAUAAGCCGGUUGUGAAAGCCCCGGGCUCAACCUGGGAACGGCAUCCGGAACUGUCAAGCUAGAGUGCAGGAGAGGAAGGUAGAAUUCACGGUGUAGCGGUGAAAUGCGUAGAGAUCGGGAGGAAUACCAGUGGCGAAGGCGGCCUUCUGGACUGACACUGACACUGAGGUGCGAAAGCGUGGGUAGCAAACAGGAUUAGAUACCCUUGUAGUC
rnacentral:rRNA from 1 species